CAGUUCUUACAAGAAACUCAAAGUUAAUUUUUAAUUGCAAUGGAGUUUUGUGUUAAUAUUCUGUUAUUUGUUAUAAAAAUUCUGUUAUAAAACUUAAUUAAAUACACGAUUAUUUAGUUAUACGUCAGGUGGUCAGUAUUGAAUAGAUAAAUGAAUAAUUGAAUAAACAAAAGGUAUCAAGUUAAUAAACUCGAGUCAUUAAUAAUAUUACAUCAAUUUACACUGUGUCCUGACACAAAUUUCUAUUUAUAUCUUAACAGUUUGGAUUUCCAAUGAAUUAAAGGGAUUGUCUUUUUUCUAAUUUCCUUUAACUAAGUUUGUAACUAGUAAUGGAAUUUUUAUUAGACACAGUUUUUUUUAGUUAAUUCUCGAUAUUACGUGAAAUUUCAUGCGCAUUAAAAAACCCACCUAUUAUACAUCAACAUGGCUCAGAUUUCUGCAUAAAAAGCGCUUUUGAACAGUGAUUUGUCUUUAUAACGCCCCUACUUUUGAGUUUGGAAACACUACUAGGUCUUUAAAUUUGCUUGAUAUAACUGGAUUUAAAAAGGAAAAGUCGCUAAUUUUGUUUGACAAAUUGGAAUGAUGAGUUUUGGUAACUCUUGGGGAAAUGGUUGGUCUGAGAAAUGUUUCAAUGGAGGAAAUAGUGGAAGCAGGUCUGGAAAUAAGGAUCCGGAAGGAACCCAUAAUGCUUCAUGUAUUGCUGGAUCUGGAAGCUGGGGAAACAGUGGACUUAUGAAAAAUUACUAUGAUGAAAGCUGCUCUGGUUGCCGACAUGACAGGUCCAAAUCAUCAUGGGGCAGCCCUCAAUCUGGCGGAAACCCUGCAUUAAAAAUUGCAUCUUUAUUUGGAAUUGGCGUGUUAGCUAAGAAAAGCCUUUGGGAUUGAAAACGAAUGAUUUCUCAGAGAUCAGUUCAAUUAUGCGACGAGAAUGUUUUUUACUUGUUUAAACAAGUUAUUCUUAGUGUCAAUAUUGUCGACAUGUCUGCAUGAGUGUUCUAGAAAGUGAAAUAUAAGCAAUAUGUGCAAUAAUUAUAAAUAAUUUGAUCGCUAUGAACAAACGGCUCUAAGGAAGAUAAAAUAUACGAUUGUUGCAGACAGAUACGAACUGUAUGUACAUUUAAACAAAUUCAGGCGUACAACAAUAACAGCAAUUUUGCGGAUAGAAGUAAAUUACAUUUGGACAAAAAGAUUGCAUUUGAUAUCAUAUUCAGACAUGAAAAACUUGAUUCUACAUACAAUAAUAAUUAUGUGAUACCAUGUUGUAGGUAUACAGUUGCUGUAAUGUUACUUGUCAUAUGAUUAAGAGAUGUGUUAAAACAACAUUUGAUGUAGUCUUUGAUGUAAUUCUUGUAUUAAGGGAUCUAGUCGUCAUUGGUCAAAUAUCUUCUUUGAUUGAAUUAUUCGAGACAAUGAUUACACGAUUCAAGAACUUCAUUAUUAGAUUUUGUGACACAUAUUAUGCCCGGAUGAAAGGGCAUACUAGGAAAACAACACAGGGUUAACGAAUCAUGCAUUUGAACAACUAUAUCUACACAUUAUUUUUUUAUUUGUAUGCUCAUUUUGUAUUGUAUUUGUAUAACCUAUAUUUUAAUGAAUAUUUCGAAUAAAAGCUCAAAAUCUCUCAA